GGAUGAACGCUGGCGGCGUGCCUAAUACAUGCAAGUCGAGCGAACGGACGAGAAGCUUGCUUCUCUGAUGUUAGCGGCAGACGGGUGAGUAACACGUGGAUAACCUACCUAUAAGACUGGGAUAACUUCGGGAAACCGGAGCUAAUACCGGAUAAUAUUUUGAACCGCAUGGUUCAAAAGUGAAAGACGUUCUUGCUGUCACUUAUAGAUGGAUCCGCGCUGCAUUAGCUAGUUGGUAAGGUAACGGCUUACCAAGGCAACGAUGCAUAGCCGACCUGAGAGGGUGAUCGGCCACACUGGAACUGAGACACGGUCCAGACUCCUACGGGAGGCAGCAGUAGGGAAUCUUCCGCAAUGGGCGAAAGCCUGACGGAGCAACGCCGCGUGAGUGAUGAAGGUCUUCGGAUCGUAAAACUCUGUUAUUAGGGAAGAACAUAUGUGUAAGUAACUGUGCACAUCUUGACGGUACCUAAUCAGAAAGCCACGGCUAACUACGUG
rnacentral:rRNA from 1 species